GGCUGGGUCCUAAGGUAAUGAGUUAUCUCAAUUGAUUGUUCAUAGUCAGUUACAGAUUGAACUCCUUGUACUACUUUUUCUUCCCAUCUUACAACUACACUUGUCUAGUCUUCA
rnacentral:Y_RNA from 1 species